CUCUGUUGCCCAGGCUGGAGUGCAGUGGCGUGAUCUCGGCUCACUGCAAGCUCCGCCUCCCGGGUUCACGCCAUUCUCCUGCCUCAGCCUCCGGAGUAGCUGGGACUACAGGCGCCCGCCACCACACCCAGCUAAUUUUUUGUAUUUUUAGUAGAGACGGGGUUUCACCGUGUUAGCCAGGAUGGUCUUGAUCUCCUGAACUCGUGAUCCACCCGCCUUGGCCUCCCAAAGUGUUGGGAUUACAGGUGUGAGCCACCGCACCCACCCUUUUUUUUUUUGAGACAGAGUCUCACUCUCAUUGCCCAGCCUGGGGUGCAGUGGUGUGAUCACAGCUCACUGCAGCCUUGACCUCCCCAGGGCUCAAAUGAUCCUCCCACCUCAACCUCCCAGGUAGCUGGGACUAUAGGCUUAGACCACCACACCUGGCUAGUUUUUUUUGUUUGUUUGUUUGUUUUUGGGUUUUUUUUGGUAGGUCCGGGGUCUUGUCAUGUUGCUCCGGCUGGUCUCAAACUCCUGUGUUCCAGUGAUCACCUGCCUCUGGGCCUCCCAAAGUGUUGGGAUUACAGGUGUGAGCCACCAUGCCCAACCCGAUCUGUAAUUUUUUUUUUCUUUGAGACUGAGUCUUGCUCUGUUGCCCAGGCUGGAGUGCAAUGCCACGACCUUGGCUCACUGCAACCUCUGCCUCCUGGGUUCAAGUGAUUCUCCCACCUCAGCCUCCUGAGUAACUGGUGUUACAGGCAUGCACCACCAUGCCCAGCUAAUUUUUGUAUUUUUAGUAGAGAUGGGGUUUUACCAUGUUGGCCAGGCUGGUCUCAAACUCCUGACCUCAGGUGAUCCGCCUGCCUUGGCCACCCAAAGUGCUGGGAUUACAGGAGUGAGCCACCAUGCCUGGCACAGAUCUGUAAUUUUUAAACUAGAAAAUAAAAUCAUUAUCUUGUGCUACCUCUCAAGUAUACUCUUGUCUUUUUCAGAAGGCUUGAAGAACCAAUGUACUGAUGUGGGUAUUAAAGAGGGUCCACUUUCCCCAGCACAAACCUCACAAGUCACUAGUCUUUCCUCAUGGACGGGGUAUUUACUUUUUCAACCAGUGGCUUCUUCCCACUUGGAGCAAAGAGAAGCCCUGUGGAUGGAGGAAAAAGGAACUCCUCAAGCCUCCUGUUCAGAUUGGAUGACUGUACUAAGAAACCAAGACUCAACUUACAAGAAGGUGGCUUUGCAGGAGGAACCAGCCAGUGGUAUAAAUAUGAUAAAGCUUAUCAGAGAAGAUGGGGGAUGGAAGCAAUUAGAGGACAGCCAUGAAGACCCCCAGGGGCUUUUGAGCCAAAAGGCAUCCCUUCACGUAGUGGCCGUUCCUCAGGAGAAGGCUACUGCAUGGCAUGGAUUUGGGGAAAAUGGUAAUCUGAGCCCAGCCCUUGUUUUAUCAAAGGGAAGCUCUAAAGGGAACCAGUUGUGUGGCAGCGAGUUAGAUAUUACAAGCUUGGCAUCCGAUCCAGUCUUAAGCCACCAUCAGCUGGGAUAUGCAGAUCGGAGACCCUGUGAAAGUAAUGAAUGUGGAAAUGCCAUCCGCCAGAACAGUCACUUUAUUCAACACGGGGGGAAGAUGUUUGUGUAUUUGGAAAAUGGGCAGUCAUUGAACCACGGUAUGGCCCUGACUAUCCACAACAAAAUCAACAUGGCAGAGAAACCCUUUGAGUGCCACCAGUGCGGGAAGGUGUUCAACCGGAGGCAUUCUUUGAGCGAACAUCAAAGAAUUCACACGGGGGAGAAACCCUACGAGUGUCAGGAGUGUGGGCGAGCCUUUACGCACAGCUCCACCCUCACGCGCCAUCUGAGAACUCAUACUGGAGAGAAGCCCUACGCGUGCGGCGAGUGCGGGAAAGCCUUCAACAGGAUCUCAUCGCUGACUCAGCAUCAGAGGAUUCACACCGGGGAAAAGCCCUAUAAAUGUGAAGACUGUGGGAAAUCCUUCUGCCAGAGCUCUUACCUGAUCUUGCACAAGAGGACACACACCGGAGAGAAGCCCUACGAAUGCAGUGAAUGUGGAAAGGCCUUCAGCGACCGUUCCUCUCUCAACCAGCACGAGCGAACUCACACGGGCGAGAACCCCUAUGAAUGUAAGCAGUGUGGGAGAGCCUUCAGCCAGAGGUCUUCCCUUGUGAGGCACGAGAGAACUCACACUGGAGAGAAACCCUACAGGUGUCAGGAAUGUGGGAAAGCCUUCAGCCAGAGCUCAUCCCUUGUCACACAUCAGAAAACUCACAGCAGCCAGAAAACCUAUAAAAUUAUUGAUUGUGGGAAAGCGUUCUACCAGAACAGACAUCUUAUUGGAUGUUAGCAAUUGCACGCUGCUUUGUAAGCCACUUUUUAGUACUCUGACACAUACAUGUGGUUAUCUUUUGCCCUGGUGUGAUGGAUAAUUUGAAAAGAAGUGGGUUUAUGUCACCUUCUCACCUUCUUGUAAGAAAGCUCUGAGAAUGGGCAUUUUUAUAUUUUGUUGUUGUUGAGAUGGAGUCUGCCACCCAGGCUGGAGUGCAGUGGCGUGAUCAUACCUCACUGCAGCUUCAGCUUCCUGGGCUCAAGUAAUCCUCCCACCCCAGCCUCCCAGGUAGCUAGUACUAUAGGUGUGCACCGCCAUGCCCAGCAAAUUUUUAAAUUUAUUAUAGAGUGGGAGGCAGGGUGCGGUGGCUCAUGCCUGUAAUCCUAUCACUUUAGGAGGCUGAGGCGGGUGGAUCAUGAGGUCAGGAGAUCGAGACCAUCCUGGCUAACACAGUGAAACCCUGUCUCUACUAAAAAUACAAAAAAGUAGCCGGGCGUGGUGGCAGGCACCUGGAGUCCCAACUACUCAGGAGGCUGAGGCAGGAGAAUGGUGUGAACCUGGGAGGUGGAGCUUGCAGUGAGCCGAGAUUGCACCACUGCACUCCAGCAUGGGCGACAGAGCGAGACUCCGUCUCCAAAAAAAAAAAAAAAAUUAUAGAGUUGGGGUCUUGCUACAUUGCCAAGACUGGUCUUGAACUCCUGGGGUCAAGCAUCCUCCUGUCUUGGCCUCCCAAAGUGUUGGGAUUAGAAGCAUGAGCCGCUGUGCCCAGCCUGAUGGGGCCUUUUAGUGGGAGGAGUUGCCAUUACACUAUGUCCAGUAAGCUCCAGACUUUCGGAAAAGAUUGGUGGACGGGAAUGCUAUCAUGGAUGGGAUCUUGCCAAGAACCAUCACCUGUUAAUUUAGUUGCUUAAACAAAAGGUGUUCUGUUUCUUAACU
rnacentral:sRNA from 1 species